GCCUCCUUAGCUCAGUGGUAGAGCACCUGUCUUGUAAACAGGAUGUCAUCGGUUCAAUCCCGAUAGGAGGCU
rnacentral:tRNA from 1 species